UGAAGCAAUCUUUGAAGAAACAAGUACCACCUUACAAAUAUGAAUUAUAAUCUAAUAAUUAAUGAUACAACCUCUUUUCAGCCACCAUUAACUAAAAGUGCAGAAGAUAAUAAAUGAUUAUCAAGGGGGUUAGGAGACUCCUGGUUGAUGGCAGUUGAGGGGUGCACUGCAUUUGGAUGAUCCUGGCAUCAAUCAACAAUACCACAG
rnacentral:lncRNA from 1 species